UGGGGAAUAUUGCACAAUGGGGGAAACCCUGAUGCAGCGACGCCGCGUGAGCGAAGAAGGUUUUCGAAUCGUAAAGCUCUGUCCUAUGAGAAGAUAAUGACGGUAUCAUAGGAGGAAGCCCCGGCUAAAUACGUGCCAGCAGCCGCGGUAAUACGUAUGGGGCUAGCGUUGUCCGGAAUCACUGGGCGUAAAGGGUUCGCAGGCGGAAAUGCAAGUCAGGUGUAAAAGGCAGUAGCUUAACUACUGUAAGCAUUUGAAACUGCAUAUCUUGAGAAGAGUAGAGGUAAGUGGAAUUUUUAGUGUAGCGGUGAAAUGCGUAGAUAUUAAAAAGAAUACCGGUGGCGAAGGCGACUUACUGGGCUCAUUCUGACGCUGAGGAACGAAAGCGUGGGUAGCAAACAGG
rnacentral:rRNA from 1 species